UUGCUCCCUGAUGUUAGCGGCGGACGGGUGAGUAACACGUGGGUAACCUGCCUGUAAGACUGGGAUAACUCCGGGAAACCGGGGCUAAUACCGGAUGGUUGUUUGAACCGCAUGGUUCAGACAUAAAAGGUGGCUUCGGCUACCACUUACAGAUGGACCCGCGGCGCAUUAGCUAGUUGGUGAGGUAACGGCUCACCAAGGCGACGAUGCGUAGCCGACCUGAGAGGGUGAUCGGCCACACUGGGACUGAGACACGGCCCAGACUCCUACGGGAGGCAGCAGUAGGGAAUCUUCCGCAAUGGACGAAAGUCUGACGGAGCAACGCCGCGUGAGUGAUGAAGGUUUUCGGAUCGUAAAGCUCUGUUGUUAGGGAAGAACAAGUGCCGUUCAAAUAGGGCGGCACCUUGACGGUACCUAACCAGAAAGCCACGGCUAACUACGUGCCAGCAGCCGCGGUAAUACGUAGGUGGCAAGCGUUGUCCGGAAU
rnacentral:rRNA from 1 species